CACGCAGGCGGUUGGACAAGUUCGGCGUGAAAGCUCCCGGCUUAACUGGGAGAGGUCGUUGAAAACUGUUCGGCUUGAGGCGAUGAGAGGGGUACGGAAUUCCAGGUGUAGUGGUGGAAUGCGUAGAUAUCUGGAGGAACACCAGUGGCGAAAGCGGUACCCUGGCAUUUGCCUGACGCUCAUGUGCGAAAGCGUGGGGAGCGAACG
rnacentral:rRNA from 1 species